rnacentral:rRNA from 1 species
AUUGAACGCUGGCGGCAGGCCUAACACAUGCAAGUCGAGCGGAUGAAGGGAGCUUGCUCCUGGAUUCAGCGGCGGACGGGUGAGUAAUGCCUAGGAAUCUGCCUGGUAGUGGGGGAUAACGUCCGGAAACGGGCGCUAAUACCGCAUACGUUCUGAGGGAGAAAGUGUGGGUUCUUCGGACCUCACGCUAUCAGAUGAGCCUAGGUCGGGUUAGCUAGGUGCGGGGGUAAAUGCCUACCCAGGCGACGAUCCGUAACUGGACUGAGUGGGGGAUCCGUCACACUGGAACUGAGACACGGGCCAGACUCCUACGGGAAGGAGCAGGUGGGAAUAUUUGACAAUGGGCGAAAGCCUGAACGAGCCAAGGCGCGGGUGGGAAGAAGGUCUUCGGAUUGGAAAACACCUGUUGUUGGGAAGAAGGAAAGGUAUAAGAAACCUUGCUGGUUUGACGGUACCCAAAGAAGAAGGCCCGGCCAACUUCGUG